rfam:Aspergillus carbonarius ITEM 5010 unplaced genomic scaffold ASPCAscaffold_7, whole genome shotgun sequence.
GGCAAGAUGGCCGAGUUGGUCCAAGGCGUCAGGUUAAGGUCAACCUUAAUAUUCAGCUUCAUAGCUUCCUGAUCAUCGUUUGAUGGCGUGGGUUCGAAUCCCACUCUUGUCA